rnacentral:rRNA from 1 species
GACGAACGCUGGCGGCGUGCUUAACACAUGCAAGUCGAACGGAAAGGCCCUGCUUUUGUGGGGUGCUCGAGUGGCGAACGGGUGAGUAACACGUGAGUAACCUGCCCUUGACUUUGGUAUAACUUCAGGAAACUGGGGCUAAUACCGGAUAGGAGCUCGUGCUGCGUGGGGGGGGUUGGAAAGUUUCGGCGGUUGGGGGUGGACUCGCGGCUUAUCAGCUUGUUGGUGGGGUAGUGGUUUACAAAGGUUUUGGCGGGUAGCGGGCCUGAGGGGGUGCCCGGCCAAAUGGGGACUGGAAUACGGCCCAAAUCCCAAGGGGAGGAAGAAGUGGGGAAUAUUGAACAAGGGGGGGAAGCCUGAUGCAGCACCGCCGCGGGCGGGAUACCGGCCUUCGGGUUGUAACCCGCUUUCGCCUGUAAGGAAGCGUGAGUGACGGUAAUGGGUAAAGAAGCACCGGCUAACUACGUG